rnacentral:tRNA from 2 species
GCCGCUUUAGCUCAGUGGUAGAGCACUCGCCUUGUAAGCGAGCGGUCGUCGGUUCAAAUCCGACAAGCGGCUCCA